rnacentral:rRNA from 1 species
GACAGAGGAUGCAAGCGUUAUCCGGAAUGAUUGGGCGUAAAGCGCACGUAGGCGGCAUUGCAAGUCGGAUGUGAAAUCUUAUGGCUUAACCAUAAAAGUGCAUCCGAAACUGCAGUGCUUGAGUACUUAAGAGGAUCGCGGAAUUCCCGGUGUAGAGGUGAAAUUCGUAGAUAUCGGGAGGAACACCAGUGGCGAAGGCGGCGAUCUGGGAAGAUACUGACGCUGAGGUGCGAAAGCGUGGGGAGCAAACAGG